UACGAAGGGAGCUAGCGUUGUUCGGAAUCACUGGGCGUAAAGAGCACGUAGGCGGUUGUGUCAGUCAGGGGUGAAAUCCCGGAGCUCAACUUCGGAACUGCCUUUGAUACUGCACAUCUGGAGUCCGGAAGAGGUGAGUGGAAUUCCUAGUGUAGAGGUGAAAUUCGUAGAUAUUAGGAAGAACACCGGUGGCGAAGGCGGCCCACUGGUCCGGUACUGACGCUGAGGUGCGAAAGCGUGGGGAGCAAACAGG
rnacentral:rRNA from 1 species